UACGUAGGGGGCAAGCGUUGUUCGGAAUCACUGGGCGUAAAGGGCGUGUAGGCGGUCAGGUAAGUGGGAUGUGAAAUGCCCCGGCUCACCCGGGGACCGGCAUCCCAUACUGCUUGGCUUGAGUACGGGAGAGGAUGUGGGAAUUCCUGGUGUAGCGGUGAAAUGCGUAGAUAUCAAGAGGAACACCUGCGGCGAAGGCGGGUUGCUGGGCCGACACUGACGCUGAAGCGCGAAAGCUAGGGGAGCGAACGGG
rnacentral:rRNA from 1 species